UUGUGGGGGGAUUAGUGGCGAACGGGUGAGUAACACGUGAGUAACCUGCCCUUGACUCUGGGAUAAGCCUGGGAAACUGGGUCUAAUACCGGAUAUGACCUUCCAUCGCAUGGUGGUUGGUGGAAAGCUUUAUUGCGGUUUUGGAUGGACUCGCGGCCUAUCAGCUUGUUGGUGGGGUAAUGGCCUACCAAGGCGACGACGGGUAGCCGGCCUGAGAGGGUGACCGGCCACACUGGGACUGAGACACGGCCCAGACUCCUACGGGAGGCAGCAGUGGGGAAUAUUGCACAAUGGGCGAAAGCCUGAUGCAGCGACGCCGCGUGAGGGAUGACGGCCUUCGGGUUGUAAACCUCUUUCAGUAGGGAAGAAGCGUAAGUGACGGUACCUGCAGAAGAAGCGCCGGCUAACUACGUGCCAGCAGCCGCGGUAAUACGUAGGGCGCAAGCGUUAUCCGGAAUUAUUGGGCGUAAAGAGCUCGUAGGCGGUUUGUCGCGUCUGCCGUGAAAGUCCGGGGCUCAACUCCGGAUCUGCGGUGGGUACGGGCAGACUAGAGUGAUGUAGGGGAGACUGGAAUUCCUGGUGUAGCGGUGAAAUGCGCAGAUAUCAGGAGGAACACCGAUGGCGAAGGCAGGUCUCUGGGCAUUAACUGACGCUGAGGAGCGAAAGCAUGGGGAGCGAACAGGAUUAGAUACCCUGGUAGUCCAUGCCGUAAACGUUGGGCACUAGGUGUGGGGGACAUUCCACGUUUUCCGCGCCGUAGCUAACGCAUUAAGUGCCCCGCCUGGGGAGUACGGCCGCAAGGCUAAAACUCAAAGGAAUUGACGGGGGCCCGCACAAGCGGCGGAGCAUGCAGGAUUAAUUCGAUGCAACGCGGAAGAACCUUACCUAAGGCUUGACAUGAACCGGAAACGCCUGGAAACAGGUGCCCCACUUGUGGUCGGUUUACAGGUGGGUGCAUGGUUGUCGUCAGCUCGUGUCGUUGAGAUGUUGGGUUAAGUCCCGCAACGAGCGCAACCCUCGUUCUAUGUUGCCAGCACGUGAUGGUGGGGACUCAUAGGAGACUGCCGGGGUCAACUCCGGAGGAAGGUGGGGACGACGUCAAAUCAUCAUGCCCCUUAUGUCUUGGGCUUCACGCAUGCUACAAUGGCCGGUACAAAGGGUUGCGAUACUGUGAGGUGGAGCUAAUCCCAAAAAGCCGGUCUCAGUUCGGAUUGGGGUCUGCAACUCGACCCCAUGAAGUCGGAGUCGCUAGUAAUCGCAGAUCAGCAACGCUGCGGUGAAUACGUUCCCGGGCCUUGUACACACCGCCCGUCAAGUCACGAAAGUUGGUAACACCCGAAGCCGGUGGCCUAACCC
rnacentral:rRNA from 1 species